rnacentral:rRNA from 1 species
UACGAAGGGUGCAAGCGUUACUCGGAAUUACUGGGCGUAAAGCGUGCGUAGGCGGUGAGUUAAGUCUGUCGUGAAAGCCCCGGGCUCAACCUGGGAAUGGCGAUGGAUACUGGCUCGCUAGAGUGCGGUAGAGGAGAGUGGAAUUCCCGGUGUAGCAGCGAAAUGCGUAGAGAUCGGGAGGAACAUCAGUUGCGAAGGCGGCCCGCUGGACCAGCACUGACACUGAGGCACGAAAGCGUGGGGAGCAAACAGG